CCUUGGUAGCGAAGGGUCAUCAUACACCAGUCUCAUCUUCUCUUAUAAUCCACUAAUGUCGCGAAAAGGUUAUGCAAACCUUACCGAAGAGACGAAAGCAAGUGCAUCUAGUGGUGGGUUAAUUGAUCGUGCUUUAGUAUGGGAGAAUGCACAAACAACUAAAGAUGGAGAGAUUCCAAACAUAGACACAAAGGAGGACAACCUAUUUGUUUCAAAAUGUGCUACUCAUUCAACAGAAGAUGUAACUUCUGACAUACUAUCGCAAGCCAUAGGAGGGAAUGAUCCACCAGGAAGGAUUAGAGGGGUGGAUCAAUAUGUCACACCGAGUAAAUACUUCCACAAUACAAGAGAGAAAUGAAAGGUCAAUAAAGAAGAAGAUUAUGAUGAAGAGUGAGCGAGAAUGGUUGCUCGUAUCUUAGAAUUGAAAGGGGAAUUAAUGAACCAUAAGAGGGUUCUUAAAGUGGCCACAAAGGGAGAAACUAUUGACGAGAGCAAGAUCAAGAGUCAAAUGGCUUCUAAAAGCAUUGACACGUCAGAUGAUGCGAAUGAUCAUGACACAGAAGAAGAAAAUAAACAGGUUCUAGAAGAAGAAGUUGAAAUAGAGGACUUGACAAUAAAAAAUUAAGAUAAGCGAAGGUUGGUGACGAGAAUAAAGAUGUUUAUGCAUUAAUUGGGACUUUGACAAAUGUGAAGGAUGGAACUUCUUGUCGACUUGCGAUUGGGACAAAGGAUAAUGUCGUCGGUGCUGGAAAUGCUUUCGACUACCACAUUAACGGUGACAACGUGAAGGUAUCAGUGGACAUGGUUGUCGAUCGUAAUUGCUUCGUCCUUGUUCCAACAAAGGAAGAUAUGACUGCGCUUUCCCAAGAAGUCGGUUCAUAGUUGUUACGGCCUCGUCAUUUUGUCACUCCUUUAGACGAGAAGGUAAUGUGUUUUUAACAGAUGGAUUUAGUUUAAAUAUAUUUCAUAUGGAUGACAUUUUAUGUUUGUGAUAGAUGAAAAGCAUGUACCAAGCUGAUCCGCCAUUACCGUUGUUGACACUGAAUACAAAGAGAGCACCAGUUACACUACGAUUAUUGCUAUGGGAACUUGAUUAUAUUGGGUCGAAGAUUCAAAUUCACGAACCUGCUAAUG